GGAUAGUUACUCAAGUUUUGCAGUUCAGCUUUAAGGUUUUAUAGAUUUUUAACUGGUCCAACAUAUUCAGAAACAUUGUUUUGAAUCUGUGUAACCAAGGCAUUAAUUUGUGUUUCCCAAAGGGUUUUUGAGUGUGAGGGCAGCUGACCCUGGGCAGGGGGAGGUCUAAAUAUUCUCUGAAUUCCCAUUUUCUCGCUCACUGUUGAAUGACAGUUCCUGUCACUACUUAAAUUUUGAUCUUUCCCAAAGGUGUCAAUUUACAAAAAGGCCAGCUAAUUGCAGAAAUCCUGACCCCAGAAAGAAAAAUGAAAUUCAAACUGAGAGCCUGUCACAGGCUGUCAGGAUGGUCAAGGUUCUUAAAUAUCGGCCAUUUGGUGCAAUUUUUUUUAAAGUUUUUAUGUUAUUCCGUGGAGUCAUAAAGAGGCAAUAAACUCUCUAAGAACUAUUUUAUAAGUAUCCCAGACCUUACGAGAAAGAAAAAAAAGAAUAUUAGUCCUCAAUAGCUAAAAGAGUUGCAGCUAGAUUCUUGGAGAAAAUGGAGAAAAGUGGACAGAUAAGGCAAUUGAAUCAGUCAAAGAGCAGUUGACAUCUCCUAGGGAACAAUGAAAACAUCAGGCUAUUAGAAAAUGGUUUCAGUUGGUCUUGUGUUCUUUGCUUUUC
rnacentral:lncRNA from 1 species